CAGCCACACAUGACGAAUAAUAUUGACAGAUUCGUCAUGUGACUCCCAGCCAGAUUCGUGUUGAGGCAAAAUAUAAUAAUUACCUAGAAAACCAAUCAUUUUGGUAGUCUGACUUCCUGGGAACAAUACCUUCUCCACCUUCAAAGAGAAUAAAUGAGAAAAGCAGCUAAAGCAUGCAGAUGACAUAAACUAAUGCAUCCAUCCCAAAGAAUAUAGCAAUUUGAGACUUAAGUUAACGACUCGUUAACUUGAGAACUUUAAGUAUCAGUUUUCUAAAAUCUCACGGUGGAAAACCAGGUAUAAAACAACACACCUAUCUAUACAUCAAGGAAAUCGAGUUCCUACUUCACCUCCCAUAUUGGUCGUGCUUUAAAACUAUUGUAAAAAAAGGGAACUAAGCAACUCCUUAAAUUUAACACAGUACUCCCUAGAAUCUCUCCAUACUGAACUUAAACAAAUCAGUCCAGGAUCAGUAAACAUUUCAUUUCAGAACAACUAAUAAUUCACCACAGAAUGUUGACAGACCCUAUUAUCACCAUGGUCUGAGUCCAAUAAUAUCUCCUGCUUACCAUGACCAAACCUAAUAGUUGAUAGAAAUAUAUAGACAAAGUAACAGAUACUCCUAUAAUACCUGAGUGAUCUUUACACUCCUAAGAUAAGUUUGAAUGUCAGGUGGUUGUCGCGGAGUGCUUGGAGAAACUUAGUG
rnacentral:lncRNA from 1 species